UACGUAGGGGGCGAGCGUUGUCCGGAAUUAUUGGGCGUAAAGAGCUCGUAGGCGGUUUGUCGCGUCGGCUGUGAAAACUCGGGGCUCAACCCCGAGCCUGCAGUCGAUACGGGCAGACUAGAGUGCUGUAGGGGAGACUGGAAUUCCUGGUGUAGCGGUGAAAUGCGCAGAUAUCAGGAGGAACACCGGUGGCGAAGGCGGGUCUCUGGGCAGUAACUGACGCUGAGGAGCGAAAGCGUGGGGAGCAAACAGG
rnacentral:rRNA from 1 species